GUAAUUGCGAAAGGAACUCUCCACCCACUGUUACAGCUACAGCAGGUCACGAGAAAGGACUGAGGUUGGCCCUUGGAACCAUGGUGUGGGGUUCUGUCUGAGAAGACCAAUGGAAAAGCUCUCUGGAAAACUAAACAUUACUUUGAGAAGCCAGACUGAAGAUUCUAUCAGCAGAACAGUGCUCAGUUCAAAAGCAAAAGAUGAAGAAAGAUUUACUCUCAGAGAAAGGACUGAGCCAAUUUUGGCUGUGAGAUACACUUUUCCUUUUAAGGUGGCUUUCACAAGAUAUUUUCAUGGCUGACACGGGGGAGUGCUUAAGUUUUCACAGACUCUUGUCAGCACGGCAGAGCUGAGUGUCCAACAGAAGUCCCAGGGCCACCUCAUCAAGGGAUCUUCAACACACCUCAGGCUCAUCCCGCUUCCAAACUUGGAUCUGGUGGCAUUGUCCAGGACAUGAUCUUCCCAGACCUCUCCAGGCACAGCCAGACCUCUUCCACAGCCUAAGAGAUUGCUCUGAGCUAUAUAGAGAGACAUUGAUCCAGGAGGCUUUCACUGUGCAUGUUCCAAACAAGUUCCACCUGCUCAAAUGGACCAAAAGCAGAUGAUAUGGCAGAGAAACUGGAAGACAACUAGAGGACUAAAGUGAGAACUGCAUCCAGAAGAACUAUGAGGAUCAACCUAAUAAAGUCCACUGACAACACACUGGGUCUAUCAGAAGUUCUUGGCCUAUAAAUGUAAGAGAAAAAAGAACAGAAAAGCAACUGGACAGUGCCAGAGCUGCUACCAGCAGCUGCCAUGGUAAAGGACAAAGCCCCAUGACCCUGCAGGAAUUUUGUCCACUGAAACUUUUUUCAAUAUUUUGGUUAUGCCUUCAACCACUAGAAAGGAUGGGGUACUCCGACUCCUCUUCCAGUGACUACUCAGAGACUCCAUGUAUAGUCUCUAAAACAGGGCAUGUGACUGCUGUUAUUUUUCCCUCAGUGAUGUACUACCUCUGCAAGUGUAAUCAUUCCUUGUUCUUAAUGUUCUCAUAUUAGAUCAAUUCACCUACAUUUGCUGUUUAUGAAAAAAUAAAUGUGUUUCAGGUGUA